UCUAAAGAACCCUAAGACUCUCCUCCACAUCCCAUCCUAUGGUUGCCCUCUUCGAUACAUCCAUUGCAGAGUCAUGAUGUGGGGUCAUACGAAGACCCUGCUCCGUAAUCCCUCUCCUCGGAUCCUGAACCUGUUGCCUUCGGACUGUACUGCACCUGGAUAUAACAUGGUCUUGAUACGGGCUUGGUCGGCGCGUCGACCACACCUCAACUCUCUCCCCGCCAACCACUGAGUGCUGAUCUAUUUUUGUGGAGUCUGCUUAGAUUCCAUAACCGCCCUAACCCUCUCAUACUGAGCUGUACCUCGAAUUGCUAGAGAGACUGCUUUGCAAGCCGAAGGUCCCUGGCUGGACUCCGGACCCCUCCACCUUUUUGCGCUUGCGCGCAUCUGUUGCCUCAUCUGUCCGCUUUCUGGAAACUACAAGAAGCUGACAGUUUCAGAUUAUCUCUUCGAUUGCUCAUCGUCCUCUACACAGUUCGCUGCUGACGUCGGACAUCAACGUCGUUCUUUGACAACUGAAUAGGUCUUGAAGAAAGACCAUGUGUAUCAAGAGCACAGUGAUUGUUAAGCUACUAAGGGUGUACGGUGAAUGCGCUGGCUCGGCAAGCGAUGAAGGACGUAGCUAGCUGCGAUAAGCCUCGGGAAGCCGCAGGCAGGCCGUGAUCCGAGGAUCUCCGAAUGCGGAAGCCCGG
rnacentral:misc_RNA from 1 species